rnacentral:rRNA from 1 species
GACGAGCCUCACGAACGUUAUUCGGAAUUAUUGGGCGUAAAGAGCGCGCAGGCGGUCGUUCAAGUCGAGUGUGAAAGCCCCCGGCUCAACUGGGGAGGGUCACUCGAUACUGAUCGACUCGAAGGCAGGAGAGGGAAGCGGAAUUCCCGGUGUAGUGGUGAAAUGCGUAGAUAUCGGGAGGAACACCAGUGGCGAAGGCGGCUUUCUGGCCUGCUCUUGACGCUGAGGCGCGAAAGCUAGGGUAGCAAACGGG